rnacentral:snRNA from 1 species
GUGCUUGCUCAGGCAGCACAUAUGAUAAAUUGGAAUCGAUACAGAGUAGAUUAGCAUGGCCCCUGCAAAAGGAUGACACGCAAUCCGUGAAGCGUUUCCACAUUUU